rnacentral:rRNA from 2 species
UGUGGCUGGGGGUGAAAGGCCAAUCAAACCGGGAGAUAGCUGGUUCUCCCCGAAAGCUAUUUAGGUAGCGCCUCGUGAACUCAUCUUCGGGGGUAGAGCACUGUUUCGGCUAGGGGGUCAUCCCGACUUACCAACCCGAUGCAAACUACGAAUACCGAAGAAUGUUAUCACGGGAGACACACGGCGGGUGCUAACGUCCGUCGUGAAGAGGGAAACAACCCAGACCGCCAGCUAAGGUCCCAAAGUCAUGGUUAAGUGGGAAACGAUGUGGGAAGGCACAGACAGCCAGGAUGUUGGCUUAGAAGCAGCCAUCAUUUAAAGAAAGCGUAAUAGCUCACUGGUCGAGUCGGCCUGCGCGGAAGAUGUAACGGGGCUAAACCAUGCACCGAAGCUGCGGCAGCGACACUAUGUGUUGUUGGGUAGGGGAGCGUUCUGUAAGCCUGCGAAGGUGACCUGUGAGGGUUGCUGGAGGUAUCAGAAGUGCGAAUGCUGACAUAAGUAACGAUAAAGCGGGUGAAAAGCCCGCUCGCCGGAAGACCAAGGGUUCCUGUCCAACGUUAAUCGGGGCAGGGUGAGUCGACCCCUAAGGCGAGGCCGAAAGGCGUAGUCGAUGGGAAACAGGUUAAUAUUCCUGUACUUGGUGUUACUGCGAAGGGGGGACGGAGAAGGCUAUGUUAGCCGGGCGACGGUUGUCCCGGUUUAAGCAUGUAGGCUGGUUAUCCAGGCAAAUCCGGAUAAUCAAGGCUGAGGUGUGAUGACGAGGCACUACGGUGCUGAAGUAACAAAUGCCCUGCUUCCAGGAAAAGCCUCUAAGCAUCAGGUAACAUCAAAUCGUACCCCAAACCGACACAGGUGGUCAGGUAGAGAAUACCAAGGCGCUUGAGAGAACUCGGGUGAAGGAACUAGGCAAAAUGGUGCCGUAACUUCGGGAGAAGGCACGCUGGUGUGUAGGUGAAGUCCCUGCGGAUGGAGCUGAGACCAGUCGAAGAUACCAGCUGGCUGCAACUGUUUAUUAAAAACACAGCACUGUGCAAACACGAAAGUGGACGUAUACGGUGUGACGCCUGCCCGGUGCCGGAAGGUUAAUUGAUGGGGUUAUCCGUAAGGAGAAGCUCUUGAUCGAAGCCCCGGUAAACGGCGGCCGUAACUAUAACGGUCCUAAGGUAGCGAAAUUCCUUGUCGGGUAAGUUCCGACCUGCACGAAUGGCGUAAUGAUGGCCAGGCUGUCUCCACCCGAGACUCAGUGAAAUUGAACUCGCUGUGAAGAUGCAGUGUACCCGCGGCAAGACGGAAAGACCCCGUGAACCUUUACUAUAGCUUGACACUGAACAUUGAGCCUUGAUGUGUAGGAUAGGUGGGAGGCUUUGAAGCGUGGACGCCAGUCUGCGUGGAGCCAACCUUGAAAUACCACCCUUUAAUGUUUGAUGUUCUAACGUAGGCCCCUGACCGGGGUUGCGGACAGUGUCUGGUGGGUAGUUUGACUGGGGCGGUCUCCUCCCAAAGCGUAACGGAGGAGCACGAAGGUUAGCUAAUCCUGGUCGGACAUCAGGAGGUUAGUGCAAUGGCAUAAGCUAGCUUGACUGCGAGCGUGACGGCGCGAGCAGGUGCGAAAGCAGGUCAUAGUGAUCCGGUGGUUCUGAAUGGAAGGGCCAUCGCUCAACGGAUAAAAGGUACUCCGGGGAUAACAGGCUGAUACCGCCCAAGAGUUCAUAUCGACGGCGGUGUUUGGCACCUCGAUGUCGGCUCAUCACAUCCUGGGGCUGAAGUAGGUCCCAAGGGUAUGGCUGUUCGCCAUUUAAAGUGGUACGCGAGCUGGGUUUAGAACGUCGUGAGACAGUUCGGUCCCUAUCUGCCGUGGGCGCUGGAGAAUUGAGGGGGGCUGCUCCUAGUACGAGAGGACCGGAGUGGACGCAUCACUGGUGUUCGGGUUGUCAUGCCAAUGGCACUGCCCGGUAGCUAAAUGCGGAAGAGAUAAGUGCUGAAAGCAUCUAAGCACGAAACUUGCCCCGAGAUGAGUUCUCCCUGAGACUUUAAGUCUCCUGAAGGAACGUUGAAGACGACGACGUUGAUAGGCCGGGUGUGUAAGCGCAGCGAUGCGUUGAGCUAACCGGUACUAAUGAACCGUGAGGCUUAACCUU